GCCCGGUUGGCUCAGUGGGUUGAGCAUCUGACUUUGGCUCAGAUCGUGAUUGCACAGGUUCGUGAGUUUGAGCCCCACAUCGGGCU